UUCCGGUUGAUCCUGCCGGAGGUCAUUGCUAUUGGAGUCCGAUUUAGCCAUGCUAGUCGUACGAACUUAGAUUCGUGGCGAAUAGCUCAGUAACACGUGGCCAAACUACCCUGUUGAGAGCGAUAACCACGGGAAACUGAGGCUAAUAGCUCAUACGGCUCGAUGCCUGGAACUGGCUCGAGCUCGAAAUGCUCAGGCGCGACAGGAUGUGGCUGCGGCCGAUUAGGUUGACGGUGGGGUAACGGCCCACCGUGCCGAUAAUCGGUACGGGUUGUGAGAGCAAGAGCCCGGAGACGGAAUCUGAGACAAGAUUCCGGGCCCUACGGGGCGCAGCAGGCGCGAAACCUUUACACUGCACGACAGUGCGAUAAGGGGACUCCAAGUGCGAGGGCAUAUAGUCCUCGCUUUUGUGUACCGUAAGGUGGUACACGAAUAAGGGCUGGGCAAGACCGGUGCCAGCCGCCGCGGUAAUACCGGCAGCCCGAGUGAUGACCGCUAUUAUUGGGCCUAAAGCGUCCGUAGCCGGCCGUACAAGUCCGUCGGGAAAUCUACUCGCCCAACGAGUAGACGUCCGGCGGAAACUGUUCGGCUAGGGACCGGAAGAUCUGAGGGGUACGUCUGGGGUAGGAGUGAAAUCCCGUAAUCCUGGACGGACCACCGGUGGCGAAAGCGCCUCAGAAAGACGGAUCCGACGGUGAGGGACGAAAGCUCGGGUCACGAACCGGAUUAGAUACCCGGGUAGUCCGAGCCGUAAACGAUGUCUGCUAGGUGUGCCACAGGCUACGAGCCUGUGGUGUGCCGUAGGGAAGCCGUGAAGCAGACCGCCUGGGAAGUACGUCCGCAAGGAUGAAACUUAAAGGAAUUGGCGGGGGAGCAC
rnacentral:rRNA from 1 species